GAUGAACGCUGGCGGCGUGCUUAACACAUGCAAGUCGAACGGAAAGGCCCAAGCUUGCUUGGGUACUCGAGUGGCGAACGGGUGAGUAACACGUGGGUGAUCUGCCCUGCACUUCGGGAUAAGCCUGGGAAACUGGGUCUAAUACCGGAUAGGACCACUUCUUGGAUGUUGUGGUGGAAAGUUUUUUCGGUGUGGGAUGAGCUCGCGGCCUAUCAGCUUGUUGGUGGGGUAAUGGCCUACCAAGGCGUCGACGGGUAGCCGGCCUGAGAGGGUGUACGGCCACAUUGGGACUGAGAUACGGCCCAGACUCCUACGGGAGGCAGCAGUGGGGAAUAUUGCACAAUGGGCGCAAGCCUGACGCAGCGACGCCGCGUGGGGGAUGACGGCCUUCGGGUUGUAAACUCCUUUCGCUAGGGACGAAGCGUUUUGUGACGGUACCUGGAGAAGAAGCACCGGCUAACUACGUG
rnacentral:rRNA from 1 species